rnacentral:rRNA from 1 species
AACGAACGCUGGCGGCAUGCCUAACACAUGCAAGUCGAACGAGACCUUCGGGUCUAGUGGCGCACGGGUGCGUAACGCGUGGGAACCUGCCCUUAGGUUCGGAAUAACUCCCCGAAAGGGGUGCUAAUACCGGAUACUGUCUUCGGACCAACGAUUUAUCGCCUUUGGAUGGGCCCGCGUUGGAUUAGCUAGUUGGUAGGGUAAAAGCCUACCAAGGCGACGAUCCAUAGCUGGUCUGAGAGGAUGAUCAGCCACACUGGGACUGAGACACGGCCCAGACUCCUACGGAAGGCAGCAGUGGGGAAUAUUGGACAAUGGGCGAAAGCCUGAUCCAGCAAUGCCGCGUGAGUGAUGAAGGCCUGAGGGUUGUAAAGCUCUUUUACCCGGGAUGAUAAUGACAGUACCGGGAGAAUAAGCUCCGGCUAACUCCGUG